rnacentral:rRNA from 1 species
GACGAACGCUGGCGGCGUGCUUAACACAUGCAAGUCGAACGGAAAGGCCCUGCUUUUGUGGGGUGCUCGAGUGGCGAACGGGUGAGUAACACGUGAGUAACCUGCCCUUGACUUUGGGAUAACUUCAGGAAAAUGGGGCUAAUACCGGAUAGGAGCUCCUGCUGCAUGGUGGGGGUUGGAAAGUUUCGGCGGUUGGGGAUGGACUCGCGGCUUAUCAGCUUGUUGGUGGGGUAGUGGCUUACCAAGGCUUUGACGGGUAGCCGGCCUGGGAGGGUGACCGGCCACAUUGGGACUGAGAUACGGCCCAGACUCCUACGGGAGGCAGCAGUGGGGAAUAUUGCACAAUGGGCGGAAGCCUGAUGCAGCAACGCCGCGUGCGGGAUGACGGCCUUCGGGUUGUAAACCGCUUUCGCCUGUGACGAAGCGUGAGUGACGGUAAUGGGUAAAGAAGCACCGGCUAACUACGU